UUACCAAAGACAUAGCCCUAGAUAAUAUCUAAGGUGUAACCUGCCCAGUGGUUUUUAAUUAAUAACUUAAAAAAUUAAAAAUAAAACUAAAAGGACGCGGUAACCUUGACCGUGAUAAUGUAGCAUAAUCACUCGCCAUUUAAUUGAUGGAUAGUAUGAAUGGUUGAACGAAUAUUCCACUGUCUUAGAAGGAAUUAAAAGAAAUUGAAAUAAUAGUUAAGAUGCUAUUUUAAACUGUAAGACGAAAAGACCCUAUAGAGCUUAACUAUAAUCUCUUUUUAACAAAGAAAGAUUAUUUUUUAAAUUAAAGAGAUUGGUAGUUUAGUUGGGGCGACUGUCUUCUAGAAAAAACGAAGACAAGCAAAAAUAAUAGAAAAUUUAUUGUAUAACACAUAUGUUUAACAAUUACUAAAGUAGGCUAUAUUGACCCGUUUUUACUCCAUAAUAAGAAAAACGAUCAAUUGAUAAAAGCUACCUUAGGGAUAACAGGAUAAUUUCAUUUUAGAGUUCAUAUCGAAAAUGAAGUUUGUCACCUCUAUGUUGAAUUAAGAUAUCCCGGUAAUGCAGAAGUUACCAAAGGUAGGUCUGUUCGACCUUUAAAAUCUUACAUGAUUUGAGUUCAUUCCGUCGCAAGACAGGAAGGUUUCUA
rnacentral:rRNA from 1 species